ensembl:rRNA 5S_rRNA 5S ribosomal RNA
GUCUAUGGCGACACCACCCUAAACUCACCCAAUCUCAUCUGAUCUCAGAAGCUAAGCAAGAUCAGCCCUGGUUAGUACUUGGAUGGGAGUAACGUUCGUAGUUAUCAUUA